ACCUUGCUGACGAGUGCCAAAUAAGAUGAAACACAGGUCCAGGAU
rnacentral:hammerhead_ribozyme from 1 species